AGAACAUAGGCUAGGGAAAACAGUCUCUUCAAUUAAUGGCGCUGGGAAAACCGGAUAUCCAUAUGCAGAAGAAUGGAACUAGACCUCUAUUUCUCACUGUAUAAAAAAAUCAAAUAAAAAUAGAUUAAAGAUUUAAAUCAAACUAUGAAAGUACCAAAAGGAAACAUUGGGGAAACUCUCCAGGACACUGGAGUGGGCAGAGAUUUCUUGAGUAAAUACCCAACAAGCACAGGAACUAAUGCAAAAAU